UGAAUACGAGACGCUAAGGCGUCGAAGUAGUGUAUGUCAUACUUCCAAGAAAAGCUUGCACUGUCAUAGAUAAAAAACGCCUGUACCAUAACCGACACAGGUGGGUAGGUAGAGUAUACUAAGGGGCGCGAGAUAACUCUCUCUAAGGAACUCGGCAAAAUAACUCCGUAACUUCGGGAGAAGGAGUGCCUUAUUUUUGAGGCUGCAAUAACAAGAUCCAAGCAACUGUUUAUCAAAAACACAGGUCUCCGCUAAGUCGUAAGACGAUGUAUGGGGGCUGACGCCUGCCCAGUGCCAGAAGGUUAAAGAAGUUGGUUAGCUUUUGCGAAGCUGAUAACUGAAGCCCUGGUGAACGGCGGCCGUAACAAUAACGGUCCUAAGGUAGCGAAAUUCCUUGUCGGGUAAGUUCCGACCCGCACGAAAGGCGUAAUGAUUUGGAUACUGUCUCGGAGAGGGGCUCGGUGAAAUAGACUUGUCUGUGAAGAUGCGGACUACCUGCACCAGGACAGAAAGACCCUAUGAAGCUUUACUGUAACUUGAAAUUGAAAUUGGACUUUAUUCGCGCAGCAUAGGUGGGAGGCGUUGAUUAUAAUCUCGUGGGAUUAUUGGAGCCAUCAGUGAGAUACCACUCUUGUAAUGUUAGAUUUCUAACUUUGAAUCAUUAUCUGGUCAAAGAACAGUUUCAGGCGGGCAGUUUGACUGGGGCGGUCGCCUCCUAAACGGUAACGGAGGCGUACAAAGGUUUCCUCUGAACGGUUAGAAAUCGUAUCUAGAGUGUAAAGGCAUAAGGAAGCUUGACUGUGAGACCUACAAGUCGAGCAGGGACGAAAGUCGGUCUUAGUGAUCUGACGGUACUGAGUGGAAAGGCCGUCACUCAACGGAUAAAAGUUACUCUAAGGAUAACAGGCUGAUCUCCCCCAAGAGUUCACAUCGGCGGGGAGGUUUGGCACCUCGAUGUCGGCUCAUCGCAUCCUGGGGCGGUAGUACGUCCCAAGGGUUGGGCUGUUCGCCCAUGAAAGCGGUACGCGAGCUGGGUUCAGAACGUCGUGAGACAGUUCGGUCCAUAUCCGGUGUAGGCGUUAGAAUAUUGAGAGGAGCCUUCUUUAGUACGAGAGGACCGAGAAGGACAUACCUCUGGUGUACCAGUUAUCGUGCCAACGGUAAACGCUGGGUAGCUAUGUAUGGAGUGGAUAACCGCUGAAAGCAUCUAAGUGGGAAGCCCACCUCAAGAUAAGUAUUCU
rnacentral:rRNA from 1 species